CUCUUCUCGUUAGUUUUUGAAGUAUGGCCUGCCCACUGACCUUGAAUGUUGAAGGGCCGCGGUAUUUUGACCGUGCAAAGGUAGCAUAGUCAUUAGUUCUUUAAUUGUGAUCUGGUAUGAAUGGCUUGACGAGGCAUAAGCUGUCUUAAUUUUGAAUUGUUUAUUGAAUUUGGUCUUUGAGUUAAAAUUCUUAGAUGUUUUUAUGGGACGAGAAGACCCUAUAGAGUUUGACAUUUAUUAUGGUCUCUUUCUGUUUGUGAGGGUUCACUAGGGCUGUUUAAUAUGUUUUGUUGGGGUGAUGGGAGGGAUAUUAUUUAACCCCUCCUUUGUGUUGUUAUAUUUAUUUAUAUUUGCUUGAUCCAUUUAUUUUGAUUGUAAGAUUAAAUUACC
rnacentral:rRNA from 1 species